rnacentral:lncRNA from 10 species
ACAUAUAUGUAUGUUAUAUAUAUAUAUAUAAAACAUAUAUGUAUGUUUUAUAUAUAUAACAUAUAUGUAUGUUUUAUAUAUAUAACAUAUAUGUAUGUUUUAUAUAUAUAACAUAUAUGUAUGUUUUAUAUAUAUAUAUGUAUAUAAAGAAAAUCACAAACCUAGUCACUCUACUGAUGCAAAUGAUUUGGGGGUGUCUUCCUAGCUUUACAAUAAGAGGAGGGACCUCUGCUGCACCCUCUGUCUCAGUUUCAGGGCAACAUCUGGUCUCUUUGGAAGCAGCUUCCAUGCAUGACAUAAGCAAACAGGGCCCCGACUUUCUUCCUGAAGGCCACUUUUCACGCUUUUCAAACUAGUUUCUGUACGUCUGAAACAAACCCUCUGCAUGGAGGCCUGCAAUGUGCAUAGAUUGUUCAUAACUCAGAACGUUGACUUUAAUCAAUUGCUAAAUGUGUUACCUUUUGUUUGAAGAAAAAUAGGAUGCAAGUGUCUUUGUAUAUUCAAAUAAAAGCUAAUGAAUGAAAAAUUUCCAAUAACAUAAAUUUCAACUCCACAAUACAAGUCUCAAUGAGGCUAACCACUUUCUCUCAUUGUUUCUUUUAUCGUGGUAUGCGCUAGUGCAGGAUACUGACUUUUUUUUCAGAUUGGUCUUAGCACAAUUACUAAAAUAAUUUCAUUUUUCUACUUGAAAUGACAGAUUUAGCAGGAUUAACAUCUCAUAAGGGAUACCUCCAUAACCAAAACUGGAUAGAUUUUGGAGUUUUCACACUGACCUCAAGGAGCAAUGCAUUCCUUUUGCUAUUACUUUUGAAGACAUGAGACAUCUAUAUCUGAUUUUUUUUUUUUUUUUUUUGAGAUGGAGUCUCGCUCUGUCACCAGGCUGGAGUACAGUGGCUCAAUCUCAACUCACUGCAACCUCCGCCUCCCAGGUUCAAGCAAUUCUCCUGCCUCAGCCUCCCAAGUGGCUGGGACUACAGGCACCCACCACCACUCCUGGCUAAUUUUUGUAUUUUUAGUAGAGACGGGGUUUCACUAUGUUGACCAGGUUGGUCUUGAAUUCCUUACCUCGUGAUCCACCUGCCUCGGCCUCCCAAAGUGCUGGGAUUACAGGCGUGAGCCACCACACCUGGCCUAUACCUGAUAUUUCUUAUGCUUUGAUUACAAAUUCAACUGAGGAGACAGCAGAUGCUGAAAGUCUGAAGAAGUAGAAGGGACAUGUCAAAACUCAGCAAAUUAUAUCCUGUUUUUGUUCAUUCAGGCUGCUAUAACAAAAAUACCAUACCCUGGAUGCUUAUAAACAACAGAAAUGUAUGUCUCCCAGUCCCCGAAGCUAGGAUGUCCAAGAUCAAGUCACCAGCACAUGCAGCAUCUGUUGACAACCUACUACUUCUUGUUUCAUAGGUGUCUCUCUUUUCUCUGUGUCCUCACAUGCUGCAAAGGGCAAGGGAUCUCUCUGGGUCUUUUAUAAGGACGCUAAAUUCCAUUCCUGCUGGCAGAGCCCUCAUGACCUAAUGACAUCAACAACGGCCUCACAUCUUAAUAGCAUCACCUUGGGAGUUAGGUUUCCACAUAUGAAUUGUAGGAGGACACAAACAUUCAGUUUAUAGCAUAUGCAUAAGCAACUAAAGAGCAAAAAGAAGAGACUAUGGGCAUCUCCUAGAUAGGAAAUUGAAAUUCAGAAAGCAUAAGUAACUCAGUCAGGUGUGAGAAAUGGUGGAGCCUCCUUCCUAUUAUACUCUGUAGGAACAAUUUAAGGUUCCUGUAUGUGUAAUUGUCGGGAUAGCAGCUCUAAAUGUUAGAUCAUUCUUACCAGAUAAUAUAAAAAUGCAACAUGAUUCAAUCUGGUCAAUUUUGUUCUUUCCACCUAAAAUAAUUCUUCAUUAAAAUAUAGUUUUAAUUUACUGAAUUAAUUCUUUAAGCUGAAUAUAAACACAGUUGCAAUGUGAAGGAAAAGUAGAAAGCUUACAUAAUAUAUGUAAUGUGGACUGUCACCAAUCACCCCUAACUGUAAAUACAUGCUACAGAUGUUUUCUUACUUGUCUGAGUUGGAGCCCUGAACUGUACCCAGGUGUGUCCACUCUGAAAAGCUGUACUUCUGGGCUAGCACAGAAACAAACAGUAAUCAGAAGGGGUUACUAACCUAUUUCUCACCUUGGUUCUUCUGAAUAAACUCAGAAUUUAAUCUCACCAUCAAUAUAUUGAUGCAGAUCUCGGCUCACUGCAACCUCCCCCUGCCAGGUUCAAGUGAUUCUCCCGCCUUAGCCUCCUGAGUAGCUGGGAUUACAGGUGCCUGCCACCAUGCCCAGAUAAUUUUUGUAUUUUUAGUAGAGAUGGGGUUUCGCCAUGUUAGCCAGGCUGGUCUCAAACUCCUAAUCUCAGCUGAUCCACCUGCCCUGGUCUCCCGCAGUGCUGGGAUUACAGGCAUGAGCCACCACACCCCGCCUCCAGGAGCUACUCUUUAUAGUCUUCUCUCUUCUGUCUUGUUUCUCCUGUGGUUCUGUUUUGAGGCUUUCACACUUUACUCAGGAUGUGUACUUAUCACAGCUACUUUUGGAAGGAUUGCUGCUGAUGUAAUUUAUUACUCUCUUUACCUCGAUUUUUAAUAAAGAAAGCACUUUGAAAAUGUUUUUCUUUUACUCUAACUAUAUUCUCAGGAGUUUAUUACUACUUGCUCCAAAUCUGGGUUGUUUCCCUUUUGUUCACUUUGGACUUUUGUCUAAAGACCUCUGUUAGUAGAUGAAUAUUGCCUUUGAACAAAUAAAAAUAUUUGAACACAGUUUUACAUUGAUCUAUUUUAAUGAACCAAAGCAAGUUUUGCAUGAGUGUGCAGUAAUAGAUUUCCAAUGAGACUUUUAAAGUCAGUUUUAAAAUCUGCACUUUUGAAGAUUAAUUUCUUGUGCCAUGCCAAUGAAACACUGUCCCAUUGCCAACUCCACAAUGAUGUUUAGCUUUACUGAACUUCCUCCUGUGAAACUGAUCUUCAAGCCAAGUUAAACUUGUUUCCUUCAUAGAAAUAGUUAUAGGGACAAAUGACUUUAAGCAAUAGGAUGGAUCCAGCCUUCAAGGUGACAUGUAUUCACCUUAGCUCCAAAGCCAAUUAAGUAAACCAAAGGAUCCUUUUUUUGAACUAUCCUAAGCCAUUCCAAAAUUAUUUGUUUUAUCUCAUGGAAAAUGUUUUGAAUCUCAAGUCCCUUAAAACAUACUGCAGUUAUUAACAAAGUCAAGGAGUUAAAAGGCAGUCUGCCUGCAGAAUCUGCUGAACAAUGUGUCAACCUUAGGGAUAUAGUUAAAAACUGGAAUGGAUCUGGCCAGUCCCUUUGGUCUCACAGAAAUUCCUAAACCACACUGUACUUUGAAGCAAUUUUCCAGGCACCCCUCUUUGCAAGUUCUGCAUUGCUUCAGGGUCCUGACUUCUAAGGUUUAUUUUAAGAUCUUCUAAAAAGGGAUUAGAAAUCAGAGGAUGAAGGGUGGGAGGACGGAGAGAAUACUAGGCUUAAUAGCUGGAUGGUGAAAUAAUCUGUACGACAAACCCCCAUGACACCUGUGUAAUAAACCUGCACAUGUACCCAUGAACUUC